rnacentral:rRNA from 1 species
CACAUGCAAGUCGAGCGGUAACAGAUCCAGCUUGCUGGAUGCUGACGAGCGGCGGACGGGUGAGUAAUGCAUAGGAAUCUGCCCGAUAGUGGGGGAUAACCUGGGGAAACCCAGGCUAAUACCGCAUACGUCCUACGGGAGAAAGGGGGCUCCGGCUCCCGCUAUGGGAUGAGCCUAUGUCGGAUUAGCUAGUUGGUGAGGUAACGGCUCACCAAGGCCACGAUCCGUAGCUGGUCUGAGAGGAUGAUCAGCCACAUCGGGACUGAGACACGGCCCGAACUCCUACGGGAGGCAGCAGUGGGGAAUAUUGGACAAUGGGGGAAACCCUGAUCCAGCCAUGCCGCGUGUGUGAAGAAGGCCCUCGGGUUGUAAAGCACUUUCAGCGAGGAAGAACGCCUAGCGGUUAAUACCCGCUAGGAAAGACAUCACUCGCAGAAGAAGCACCGGCUAACUCCGUGCCAGCAGCCGCGGUAAUACGGAGGGUGCAAGCGUUAAUCGGAAUUACUGGGCGUAAAGCGCGCGUAGGUGGCUUGAUAAGCCGGUUGUGAAAGCCCCGGGCUCAACCUGGGAACGGCAUCCGGAACUGUCAAGCUAGAGUGCAGGAGAGGAAGGUAGAAUUCCCGGUGUAGCGGUGAAAUGCGUAGAGAUCGGGAGGAAUACCAGUGGCGAAGGCGGCCUUCUGGACUGACACUGACACUGAGGUGCGAAAGCGUGGGUAGCAAACAGGAUUAGAUACCCUGGUAGUCCACGCCGUAAACGAUGUCGACCAGCCGUUGGGUGCCUAGCGCACUUUGUGGCGA